rnacentral:rRNA from 1 species
CAGCAAUGCGUGGCAUACGGCUCAGUAACACGUAGUCAACAUGCCCAGGGGACGUGGAUAACCUCGGGAAACUGAGGAUAAACCGCGAUAGGCCAAGGUUUCUGGAAUGGACACUGGCUGAAACCUAUAUGGCCCCUGGAUUGGACUGCGGCCGAUCAGGCUGUUGGUGAGGUAAUGGCCCACCAAACCUAUAACCGGUACGGGCUUUGAGAGAAGGAGCCCGGAGAUGGGCACUGAGACAAGGGCCCAGGCCCUAUGGGGCGCAGCAGGCGCGAAAAUUCUGCAAUAGGCGAAAGCUUGACAGAGUUACUCUGAGUGAUGCCCGCUAAGGGCAUCUUUUGGCACCUCUAAAAAUGGUGCAGAAUAAGGGGUGGGCAAGUCUGGUGUCAGCCGCCGCGGUAAUACCAGCACCCCGAGUGGUCGGGACGAUUAUUGGGCCUAAAGCAUCCGUAGCUUGUUCUGCAAGUCUUCCGUUAAAUCCACCUGCUCAACAGAUGGGCUGCGGGAGAUACUACAGGGCUAGGAGGCGGGAGAGGCAAGCGGUACUCAGUGGGUAGGGGUAAAAUCCUCUGAUCCACUGAAGACCACCAGUGGCGAAGGCGGCUUGCCAGAACGCGCUCGACGGUGAGGGAUGAAAGCUGGGGGAGCAAACCGGAUUAGAUACCCGGGUAGUCCCAGCUGUAAAC